rnacentral:lncRNA from 1 species
UAACAUGGAAGAAGAUCAAUGAGUUGGAACAGUUUCGACAAAGCGAAGGAGUUGACUUAAAUUACGAAAAAGCUGAAUUUGGGAAAACAUUAGCAAUUCGAAAAUACCAUCCUAAUGACCAUGAUGCAAAUAUCUUCAAAAAUGUCAUUUUCUACCACACAAUCACAAUUUUUUUCGAAGAAAACUGUAUGGUCAAUUCCUCGCUUUAUUCCUCG